GGGUGGUUCAGUCAUUAAGCGUCUGCCUUCGGCUCAGGUCAUGAUCCCAGGGUUCUGGGAUCGAGCCCCGCAUCGGGCUCCCUGCUCCGCGGGAGGCCUGCUUCUCCCUCUCCCACUCCCCCUGCUUGUGUGUGCGCUCUCUCUCUCUCUGACAAAUAAAAUCUUUAAAAAAAAAUUUAAAAGAAACUAAAUAGUAUCAGAAGUGAAGUAACUGUGCUAUAUAUUGGGUAAAGUAAGUAUUUUCCUGGUGACUUUUUCCUUCCACAUUGGUAAAUGUUCUUUAGCUAAUAAUUUAUAGCCUUUCCCUUAAUUAAAUCAAGAUUUAGUUUAAGAUUAUACUUUCUUUUAACAAUUCUAAAUACUGUCCUCAAAGUAGGGUCAGGCCUAUCAGCUGCAUGUCUUAGCUGCCAUCACCCAUACUCUCCACACACCAUUACUGUUCCUUGUCUCUGCCCCUGAGCUUCGCUCUCCACCCCCAGGAUCUCAGGAGCCUAAAGGUGGGACCAGGUUACAGCACAGUAGGUACAGUACAGUUUAGUUGAGUUUCGUUCAGCUUAGAAUCAGAAAAAUGUGGAACCCUGUAUUCUACUUACUUGCUGGGUGGUCUUAGGCAAUGAUGAAUAGCUGGUUCAUGGAGUGCUUAUUUGUGCCGGGCAUAACAGUCCGUGCUCUUUCCAUGACGUACAUAAUCCUCCCAGUGGCUCUGAGGAAGUACUGUUAAUAUCAUCAUUUAUAGGUGAUUACAAUCUUAGGAGAGGGUAAGUUACACUAUUAAUAAAGGCCUAAUAGGAAGACUUGACCCCAGAUAUAAAGCCAGGGUGUCAGACAGUAAGUCCCUACGGCUAGUCACACCCUGCCACCACUGCCUACUCUCUUUGUGCCUCAGUUUCCUCAGUUGUAAGGUGCUUAUAAUGUCUAUGUCACAGAGUUGAGGGAGGAUGAAAUUAAAUAAUGUGUCAAUUGUGGAUAUUUCGCACCGAGCACAUGCUCAUCGGGAAGUCUUUUUUUUUUUCUUUUUUUUUUUAAUUUUUAAUUUUAUUACGUUAGUCACCAUACAAUACAUCAUUGGUUUUUGAUGUGGUGAUCCACGAUCCAUUGUUUUCAUAUAACACCUAGUGCUCCAUGCAGUACGUGCCCUCCUUAAUACCCAUCACCGAGCUAACCAAUCCCCCCUACCCCCUCCCCUCUAAAACCCUGUUUGUUUCUCAGGUCCGUAGUCUCUCAUGGUUCAUCUCUCCCUCCAAUUCCCCCCCCCUCCAUUUUUCCCUUCCUUCUCCUAAUGUCCUCCAUGAUAUUCCUUAUGUUCCACAAAUAAGUGAAACCAUAUGAUAAUUGACUUUCUCUGCUUGACUUAUUUCACUUAGCAUAAUCUCCUCCAGUCCCAUCCAUGUUGAUGUAAAAGUUGGGUAUUCAUCUUUUCUGAUGGCUGAGUAAUAUUCCAUUGUAUAUAUGGACCACAUCUUCUUUAUCCAUUCGUCUGUUGAAGGGCAUCUCGGCUCUUUCCACAGUUUGGCUCUUGCGGACAUUGCUGCUAUGAACAUUGGGGUGCAUAUGGCCCUUCUUUUCACUACCUCUGUGUCUUUGGGGUAAAUACCCAGGAGUGCAAUUGCUGGGUCAUGGGGUAGCUCUAUUUUUAAAUUUUUGAGGAGCCUCCACACUGUUUUCCAAAGUGGCUGCACCACCUUGCGUUCCCACCAACAGUGUAAGAGGGUUCCCCUUUCUCCACAACCUCUCCAACAUUUGUUGUUUCUUUCCCUGUCCAUUUUUGACAUUCUAACUGGUGUAAGGUGGUAUCUCAAUGUGGCUUUGAUUUGGAUUUCCCUGAUGGCUAAUGAUGAUGAACAUUUUUUCAUGUGUCUGUUAGCCAUUUGUAUGUCUUCUUCAGAGAAGUGUCUGUUCAUCUCUUCUGCCCACUUUUUGACUUGAUUAUUUGUUUUUUGGGUGUUGAGUUUGAGAAGUUCUUUAUAGAUUUUGGAUACCAGCCCUUUAUCUGUAGUGUCAUUUGCAAAUAUCUUCUCCCAUUCUGUGGGUUGCCUCUUUGUUUUGUUGACUGUUUCCUUUGCUGUGCAGAAGCUUUUUAUCUUGAUUACAUUUCUUUCCCCAUUCCCCUUUCUUCCUUACACCUGCAGAGAAGAUGGAAACCUACUCUCACUCUCUUCAUACCUCCCUCUGAAUUUAGGUCCUAAUUCUAUACUUGAUUGCUUUUGUUUUUUUAACAGCAGUAACUUAAAAAGAAUCUUCAUUUCUCAAGAAUUCUUUAAGUGAGGUAUCAUUGGCCCUCAACUUUAUGACUUUUCUUUGUCCUAUCAAUUUUUUAAUUAGCUCUUGGCACUUCUGCUUAUCAAUGUUGUUACCACAGCUAAUGUGACUGUCACACCCAUAUACCUCAUAUGAUAAAUGACCUGUGGUGAAUGUGCUGGUUUUAUUUGCUUUCAGAAUGACUAGUUCUUUAAAAAUUGAGCACAGAGAUAUGUGCAGCCAGGUUACAGUAACAACGUGAUAGAGUCACUCACUGAUCAAGUCAUUUCUGGCAGUCUGACCAUUUUCUCUUUAUUUUCUCCACCUCGCUAAUGGCAGGAUCUCUUUGAUUAAGAAGUCAGUUAUGCAGUGACAAAAGAAUGCAAGUGGGAUUUGUGCCUUUUAUCUGGGCUUCUGUGUAUAACUGGGAUUCUGAGAAAACGACUCUGUAUGUCUUUUUGAAUAAUUGUAAAACCAGCAAGAUUUACCAGUGGAAUGCAGCAUGGUGGGCUGAGAUAGUCCUGAAUGAGUCUUUUUAAAUCUAAUCUCAAUUUUCUAUGUAAUUUUCUGAAAGUAGAGAUAUAUCUGUGUGGCCUACCUCCUUAUCUGUAAAAUGAAUAAUCCAGUUAGCUGACCUUCAGCAUUCCCAGCUGAAAAAAUUCAUACUAAAAAGCCUUGUGUUUUUACAGCUACCUCUUCAACAAAUUAUAUAAUCAACUGGGAUAUCUCCUGGAUAUUACCUACAGGCAACUUAAAAUUAACAUUGUGAAAUGAACAUCUCUUGCCCCUCAAACUUGUUCCUCUACUGUGUUUUCUGUCUGGUCACUUAUGCUCAAAACCCAGUGGUCACCUUACCUCUUCCUUCACCCCCUGUAUCUCAUGAGGCACCAAGUCCCAUGUUCUUCCUUCCUCAGUACUUUUCUCCAUCUUUGUUUUUUCCCACUCCUACAACCAUUGCCCCAAUUUAGACUCUUGUCAUCUUUAGCCUAGUGUCCUGCAGUGGCCUAACCAUAAAUUUUACAUAUAAUUCUAUAAUUAAAGCCUCCACUUUAAUCUUGACCACAUACGACAGUAGCUAUACAAUUCCUUGACCUAUUCAGACUCUUCCCUGGUAAUAGUAUUUUGAGAGACCUACCUGAAAAAAAGAAGAAGUCCAAAGAUUUUAAUAAUAGUAUUUUCAAUAAUGAAAACAAUUGGGAUACCCCAAAAUGAGUAUUAACGAGCAAAUGGUGUAAAUUAUAUAUAGUGUGUAUCAGAAUAAUCACUAGAUAGUAGAUGCUCAAUAAAUUCUUACUGAGUGACCAAAUGAAUGAGGCCUGGAGCUAUAAAGAUAACAGGGUGUGGAUUAAAUCACACCAUUGACAUGUCUAUGAAAUAAUGUUAGCUGGGGAAAAAAAGAUACUGCUCUGUAAGAAUGUUUCCUGCAUUCAGAUGAAUCAGGAUAUAUUAUAGAUACACUGCCUAUCAAGUGAAUUGGAAACCAAAAUCACAUCUGUCCUAUCACUAAUACAUCUUAAAAAUACAUGCCGUCUACCCACUCAGGACCCUGGGUGUGGCUAAGAUACUUCAUUGGCCAGAGUCCCUGAGUCCAGCUCUUGUGGAUUUUUAGAUCUGUGAUCUUGAUCUCUUGGGCUUCUAAGUGGCUGAAAGCUCAGCUUCUUCUGGGCCCACCCAGAGAGCUGGCAUCCCCUUCUAAGUAAGCACUAUGUUCUCUUCUAAGAGGGUGGGGACUGAAUCACCAUACAGGACUUCACCAGCCAAGGCAGGGGGAGAACGCCUAUCUGGCUCAAGGAGUCUGGGAAAAUUAACUAAACUCUGCUAAGCUAUGUAAACCAUUCCUUAAAGCCCAACAACAUUAAAAAGUAAACUGAAUUAAUCAUAAUCAAAAUUUUCUCUAGGAAGUUGUUUAAGGUCAGACUUUUUUUUCAAUGACCCUGUGCUUUGAGUAAAGGCAUGUUACUCAUGCCUUGAGUGAAGGUAUGACAGUUGAGAACAUGGUUUUCAAACUCUGCUAGGACACUAGGAUUCCACAGGCUAGACCAGUAUGUUCCCACAGCUAACAUCAAAUAAUGGUGGUCUUUUUCUUAGGUCCAAGAAAAGUUGGUAGAAAGAGUUUUGUCAAUGGUACAUUUUUUUCUCCAUAAACGUUUUUAAUACGUUAAUACCUGCUACCUAAUUUAAAAAGUAAUAAGGAAGCCUUAUGGGAUUAUUUGGCUAGCUGAGUGUUCUUGGUCUAAUAGCUUGUCUUGUGGCCCACUUGUUCCCCUGCUGGUUUAAUAUUGCAUACAUACAUUUUUUGCUAGUAAGCUGCUCCUUGUUCAUCAAACUGAAUUGAAUGUGUUACUGUCAUGGGGUCAGCACAGGGUAACUUGAUUUCUAGGUGCUCCACCACUGGCCUAGGUGUCUGUGUGAAAUAUAAAAUCCAAAUGUUCUUAUGUAAUUCAUAUAGAUCAUAUACUCCUAGGAACCAUGUGCCUUAAUGAAAAUAAGCCUUGGUAAUGGAAGUACAGAUCCACCUGGCUUAUGCCUUCAAUAUAAUGACCUCUGGAAAAGCCCUGGAAGAAUAUGCUCUGGUUUUUGGCACUCAGCCUGUAAGAUUCUUCCCUUAUUCCCUAACCUGAGGCAUAGGACGGGGACUUCCUAGGGCCCUUGCGUUCUGAUUGAUAAUACCUGCUAUACGUCUAGUGCCAUGGUAUGUCCUGAAGUCACCACGGUUAAGAUACACUUUGGUGCAUGUUUUAAUGACAACACAUAAAUACCUCAUCAGAGCACUGGUUUUAGUAAGUCUUACAUUAGAAAAAUGAGAAAUUUCUGCUGAGAGAGCACAGAAAACUGGUAACAGAAGAAAGUCAGGCAUGGUUUCACAGAGAGGUGACAUUGGAACUCAUCCUUGAAAAGCAGAGAUUUGCCUGCUGAAUGUCAGAUGAGGGUGGGAGAGAAGGGAUGGCAAAGCCUGUCCAGCCACAGAACAGUUUGGGUAAAAUCACAGGGGGCAUGGCACAAGAGAGACGGGUUUACUCGGCAUGGGGCACGUUGGGGGCAAUGGCAGAUGGUGAGGCCAGGGAUGGUGGACAAGGGUCAGAUCAUGAGGGACAGGCUGAGGCAUUUGAACCUUAUCUUGUAGGGGUGAAGAACUACUAAGGAUUUUAAGCAGAUGAAUGAAACAGUCAGAUUUGCAUUCAGAGAAACCUCUGGCUACAGUUGGGAGAAUAGAUAGGGGGUGUGGGAGAACAGUUGGGAAUGUGUUGUAGAAGUCAGAGUUAUUUUGACAGGAGGUGAUGUGGAGGGUGGGACAUGGUGGGGGGGCAGAGAGGGAGGACAGGUAGAAGCCUUUAAAAAAAGAAACCAACACCAUUACAGGCUCCCCUAAGGGUAGAUGGUGCUCUGAUAAGUGGGCGGGGUUGUCAAGUCGGCUUUUCCUCAUGUAGAAAAUGGGAACAAUUAUCCUUACCCUUCCUGGCUUAAAAGGUUACUGAAAUGACAUGAAACAUAAUCUGUAUUUAAUAGUAUUUUUAUAAUGAUUUUCAUCCACAGAACAAAUACCAUGAGGUUGAGUGAUAUGAAAUUGCCUCUUUUAUGGCCAAAAAAAAAAAAUCAAAUAUCAGAAAUUUCAUAUGAUUCAACCUAGUAGUUUUUGACAUUUUUCCUGUUACUUCCUGCCUCCUUUUUGGCCAUAUCAUUGCCCCCUCCCCCACCACCACCUUUUUUAAGACGAGCAAUACAUUUCAUCAAGGGGAUUUCCAGGAAUUCUGGGGAGACAGGAGUAUAAAGUAUACAGGCUUUGGAGUCAAACCCAGAAUCAGAUUUUUCUCUGUAAUUGAUGAACAGUGAUCUUGGCCUAGUCAGUCCGUUUUAGCCUUCUUUUAUUUUUCCCAUCUGGAAAAUAGAAACAAUGCCUGCCUUGCCGUGUUACUAAAUGAGAGAAGUCACGCCUUGUGAGGGUGUGGCAUGUACAAGGUGUUGAAUAAAAGUUAGUCUCAACCGCCACCCCCCCCACCCUUUCUCAUUUUCCCUACUUGUUCACAGAAGGCUUGGCAUAGAACCCUAGUUAGCAGCUUUCUUGUGGCCCAGAAAAGCUGAGUUAAGAGCUGCAUACCGGGGAUUUGAGUGUCAGAAAUGUUCAGCUGUCAUAAUAACUUCAAGCCAAAACCUUUUAAACUAGUGACCAUUUAAAUAAUCAAACUUGAUUCCAUGGAAUUGCUUUAGUGCACAAUUUGUGUCAAGUUUUUCCAGAAUGCCACAAGUCUAAUCACUUUCCACAUCAUUCAGGAAGUUACUCAUUUAGCCUUUCCAAUAAACUCAUCCAUACAGACUGUGUCAUGCUCCCCUGGUGGUGUCAUCACCUUUUUUUUUUUUUUUAAUGUGAUAACUGCUUUUUGCAAAAGGAAAAAAAAAGUAUUAGUAUUCAUUUCCUUAUAUUCAUGACUCUGAAUCCAACCCAAAAGAUGAAGUCACAAUUGCCGACCCUCCACACUCCCGGGUCUCAAUAGCACAACUGGAUUUCUGCCUCAGUUUCCCUGCUGAACAUUUUCCCUUAUGAGGAGUUCUGACGGUGCAUUAAUUCAGUGGGGUUUUUUUUUUCUUAUUGAGCUUAUUGCAAGCACCAUUCUUGUCCCAGCAUGUAUAUGGUGAACAAGACAGACAAAAUCUUUACACUCUAGAGCUUAUAUUUUUAUGACAACAAUCAAAUAUUUUCAGAGUGGGUGAGUGCUAUGCAGGAACUAAAUAGGCUAAUGGGACAGAUAGUGCUGGUAUCAGAUAGAGGGUAACAGGGUUGACAGGGAAGUGAGACAGGAACAAGGCCCUGAGGUGGAAAUGAGUUUGGCAUAUUUGAGGAACAGAAUGGCUGGGAUUCUUUCUCCUUUUCUUGACAGAGGGAUAAAGUGGUAGAAGAUGCAGUAGGAAAGUUAGGGAGCAGAUAAACAUUACUCUCUGAGCUUUGACCUCCAGCUUCCCUGGAGGGUUGGAUUCUGUAGAUAGCCACAGCCUUGGACCUUCCUUUAAACUCGAUGUAUGCCGUCCAGAAGAAUUCUGUAACUGCUCUUCUGACCCCAUCGCUGUUGCAUGGAGCCUGGCCGCCUUGCCCUUCCCCUUGCAUUUGACCCUGACUGAAAUCAAGUCAGAAUCCUUGGUUCUCUGGUUAGAACCCCGUAGCCCUUCAGUGACCCCAGUGGGAGAAAGGCAUCUGGACGUCCACACCCAAGAUGCAACAGUAACCCUUGCCUCAGACCAACGGCUAUACCUUGGACCUUCUCAGGACCUGGAACCACUACUCCACCUGAGAGAUCUUGAGGCCUGGCGCACUGCAUCUCUGACGUCAUCCCCUGGCUCUCAGCUCUCUCACUCUUUCACUCCGCUGGGCCUGCUCCUGGACACCCUGGUUAGCACCAGGCCUUCGGCCUCACUGUUUUCUUCCAAGUCCAUCACUCCCCUUAUGAUUUCUCUUCCUUCCCCAUUGGCCUCGACCUUUAGGGCAGCACGAAAACCAGCAUCAUCCUCUUUCUGCCACACCCAUUCUGAAAAGUUUAAACUUUGUAUCCAUCCAACCUCUGCCUUCUCCCCCUCUACGCUUGGGCAGCUGAACACAACCAUGCAGACUGGCUUGAAAGCAACUCUGUGGUCAUCCUUGACUGGGCCCUCAUAGCCAUUGCCAUCUUGGUCAUCUCUGCACAAGAGGUACAAAUUCAUUGACUGACGAAACUGAUUCACCCCUCCAUCCGUUGGACAAAUAUUUAUCAACUGUUCUAUGCCAGUCAAUGUGCUACACGUUAAACACAGUACAGAAACCGGUCUGUGGACACAGUGCCUGCCUUCACGGGGGAGAGAGGCCUGUCCACUGAGUGCGGACAUGGAAUCACAGUUGUGAAGAGCACUGUAAAGGGAAUAAUCCCAAGUAUGGUAACAGCACACAGUAGGAAGACCUACUACCCUAGUCCGCUGGGUCAGAGAAGGCCCCCCCUGAGACACUGACUCUUAAUUUCAGGCCUAAAGGAAGGGUUCAGAUUGCUAAGUGAGAGCCGUGGUGGUGGAGUGGAAGGGCUUUCGAGGUGGAGGAAAGAGUCUCUGUGAAGGUCCUAGGGCAGGCAGGAGGAAGGAAAUGAAAGGCGGUCCUGUGACAGGGUAUAGAGGGCACUGAGGGCAAGGUUGGAGAAGUCAACAUGAGCCAGAUCUUGGGGGCACUUUAAGGAUUUUGAACCAGUUUUAUGCAGAGGAUGGCAUCAUCUGAUUUGCCCUGUCUUUUAAAAAGGGUCAACCCAUUUGUAGUACAUUGGAAAAGUUGAAUAAGUCAACCAGAUAAGCUGUUGUCUGUCUAUUCAAUGACUGAUGGCUUCGUGGAGACAGAUUGGAGAAUCUUCUUUAAACUCCAAAAGGCCCAUAACUCACUUCUGAUCCCUCCCACCACCACCACCACCACUACCACCAUGUUUGGCAAUUGACUUGCUUCCUACUUCUUAGGAAACUAAAAAUAUCAGCUGUGAACAUCCUCAGUUUCCUGCCUCUACACCCACACAUUUACCUAACUGCACUUCCUUCACUUCCUUCCUGCCCAUCUCAGAGAAAGAAGACCAUCCUCCUUUCUGAGGCCCAUCCUUCCCUCUUCCACCUUCUCUAGGACCAAUACCAUGCUGCAUUGCUUAUUCACUCCUUGUCUUGUACACACACUCAGUGGUCUUCCAUUCAGACAAACAAAAAUCAAAACCCACUCACCUCCUAUCACCCUAGCUACUACUUCAUCUCUUUCCUUCCGUUUAUAACAAUUUUUAUAUAGCCUACUCUCCCAACGUCAGGGAGAGUGGUGCUCCCCAGAUAGUCCAUGGACUCUGCAUAUUUCCUGGCUCCUUUGACGUUAGACAGGCCGAAGUGACUAGCAUCUCACUUUGGACCAAAGCAUAGGGUAGCUGGCAUGUGACCGUCCCAUGAUCUCUUCAAUGGCUGAGGUAAUUGUGAAGGGGGUUUUGUCUUCCAAAGUUACAACUUAAAGAUGAUGGAGCCCCCAUCACUGUAAGUUGCUCGGUGACUGUGUACAGCAGUCCCCCAACACGUGAAUUUUUGCUGUGUUAAGUCAUGGAGGUUUGGGCGGUUGUUCAUUACUACGGCAUAGCCUAGCCUAACUAACACAUUUAGUCUCUACUUCCUCCCCUCUGUGCACUUUUUAAAAAAGAAUUACAUUAUUUCUGACCUCCUUUUAGUCCUCAGAAUCCUCUCUAUUGACAUUUUACUCAGGCAAAUGCCACUACAAUUCUUCUAUUGCUAAAUCACCUAAUUUGAUUUCCCCUUGUUUUUUUAUGACCUAUUUGAUACAUUUCUCUCACUCUAUCAAAGUAGAAUCAAAUGGCUUUUAUCAAGUCAAACCCCCAUUUAAAAGACUUCUAUGGCUUCCAGAAUCAAAGCUUAUUAAACUGACAUUUGAGAUCCUCAGUGAUUUACCUUGUCCUAUUCUCCUUUACACAGCCUACACAUUACUCAGUACAGCCUUGAUGAGCUCCUUCUCCUCUUUGACCUUCAUCAUGCUGUUCCCUGCACCUGUCACAUGUUUCGGUCCCGGUUUCUCCUGUCAAGUAAUUUAGACAUGUGUGCAAAGAUGCUGGCAUAAGGACUGUUUAUAAGAGCAAAAUUUUGGAAAUGAUCUAAAUGUCCAUCUCUAGGUGAUGACUUAAACAGGUUAUGGUAAGUUCAUGCAAUAAUAAUAUGAAGACGAUAAUGAUGAUGUGCAGUCAUUGAAGUUGUUCACAAUUUAUUAAGUCUAUAAAACAGUGAGCUGGUAUACAUUGUAUCAUAUUUGUUAAAAUACAUAGGAAAUAUCUGGAGGAAUGUACAUCAAAAUGUUAAUGGUCACAAAUGAAAAAAAUAGAUAAGUUGGAUUUCAUCAAAACUUAAAACUUUUGUGCUUCAAGGGUCACCAUCAAGAGAGUGAAAAGACAGCCCACAGAAUAUUAGGAAACUUACAAAUCAUACAUCUGAUAAGGUACUUCUAUCCAGAAAAUAUAAAAAACUCUUACACUCAAUAAAUAAAAAGACAAAUUACCCAGUUAAAAAAUGGGCAAAGGAUCUAAAUAGACAUUUCUCCAAAAAAGAUAUACAAAUGGCCAAUCAGCACAUGAAAAGAUGUCCAACAUCAUUAAACAUCAAGGAAAUGCAAAACAAAACCACAAUGAGAUACCACUUCACACCCACUACGAUAUCCUUGAUCAAAAAGACAGAUCAUAACAAGUGUUAAGGAUGUGGAGAAACUGGAGUCCUCGUACACUGCUGGUGGGAAUGUAAAAUGGUGCUGUGGGUUUGGAAAACAGUCUGGAAGUUCCUCAAAAGGUGAAACAUCACGUCACCGUAUGACCCAGUGACUCCACUCCUAGGUGUAAGUCCAAGAGAAAUGAAAACACAUCCACACAAAAAUGUGUACAUGAAUAUUCACAGCAACAUUAUUAAUAGCUAAAGAGUGGAAAUAACCUAAAUGUCCAUCAACAUGAUAAGCAAAAUAUGGCAUACCCAUGCAAUGGAAUAUUAUUCUGCAAUGAAAAGAAAUAAAGUCCUGAUAAGUGGUAUGACUUGGAUGAACCUUGACAACAUUAUGCUAACUGAAAGAAACCAGUCACAAAAGACCACAGAUUGCAUGCUUCCAUUCAUAUGAAAGGUCCAGAAUAGGUAUAUCUAUAGAGACAAAGUAGAUUCGUGGUUGCCUAGGGCUGAGGUGGGGAGGGGAUUGAGAGGAAAUAGGAAUUGACUGCCAAUGGGUGUAAGAUUUCUUUUGGAGUGAUGGAAAUGUUCUAAAAUUGAUUGUGAUGAUGGUUGCCCAACUCUGAAUAUACUAAAAACCAUUAAAUUAUAUACAUUAAAUGGGUGAAUUGUAUGGCAUGUAAAUUAUAUCUCAAUAAACCUGCUUUUUAAAAAAAGAUUUUAUUUAUUUAUUUGACAGAGAGCUAGAGAGAGAGAACAAGUAGGCAGAGAGGCAGGCAGAGGGAG